AUGUGUGGGACUUGCUCGCCUGCAGCUCCUUCUGCGCAUGUGCAAUACCCUUUGGGCUCUACCUCUAAAAAGUCUCAGGGGCUAUUGUGGCAGACGGUUCUGAAGAGUCUGGGUCUGCGCCCCCGGCUGAGCAGGUGCGGCCCGAGUGGGAGUGGCAGACGAAGCAGAAUGGUUGGGCGACAGCUGAGGGGUACCCUACGCAGCUCCAGCGAGCCGGCGUGGGGCAGGGACCCUCGGCGUCAGAACCUGAGAAGGCGGACAGCUAUACCUUCAGAGAUUUCAGCAUUUUUCCAAGACCAGCAAAAUAUGAAGAAAUUCUGUGUGAGUUGUUGGUAUUGCAUCCCUAAACCAGAACUGAUCUUCAAGUUGGAACAAGGAGAGCAUCCAUGGGUAUUAGAGGCAGAGUCUCCAAGCCAGAGCUACCCAGGUGAGUUAAGGUGUGUUAAAUAGGACACCUGGUGACAGGUAUGAAUUCUUUUUAUUCUUAAUUUUUGCUCAUAUGUUCAUUUUUUCAUUCAACAAAUAUUGAGUACCCACGAGCAUCACUCAGGUUUUAGGUGUUGGAAAUACAUCAGUGAACUAAAUUUUGUCCCUGACCUCAUGGAGCUUACAUUCUGAUAGGGAGAGAAGGACAAUCAACAAACAACAACACAUGUAUAUAUAUAAAAUAUGCCAGUAAAUACCAAGGAAAUCGAGAAGGGUAAGAAUGAUGGAGUGUUAUACUUUAGAAAGGAUAUCAAGAAGGGCUUUCUGAUGAUAUCAACUUGAAUAAAAUGAGAAUGAGACUCGUGGAGAGUCUUGAU
rnacentral:lncRNA from 1 species